AUCCAGAUGACGAGUCCCGAAUAGGACAAAACGCGUGUCCUGGAU
rnacentral:hammerhead_ribozyme from 1 species